rnacentral:lncRNA from 1 species
AUACCCUCACCACCAUUUUAAAAACUUGACACGUCCAUGUGUAAACCAUAGUUAAUAACAUACUUUUAUAUCUUUUAAAAAAAAAAUUUAAAACCAUAAAAUAAAACAAAAUAACAUUAUUUUAAAUAAAAAAAUAAAAAAAAUAAAAAACUCCCUCGUUCUCUCUCCCCCUUCCCAACCCAACCUACCCCAUACGCCCUAUACCCCCUCAUCAACCCUAGCCACCAUUUCUCGGUGUUUUUGCCGUCGUUGUGGCUAUUCUACAACAAGUCAUCUGUAAUCUCUUCAUGCCCAAAAAAACCCUAACUCUAGCGCCUCAGUCAG